GACGAACGCUGGCGGCGUGCCUAAUACAUGCAAGUAGAACGCUGAAGGAGGAGCUUGCUUCUCCGGAUGAGUUGCGAACGGGUGAGUAACGCGUAGGUAACCUGCCUGGUAGCGGGGGAUAACUAUUGGAAACGAUAGCUAAUACCGCAUAAGAGUAGAUGUCGCAUGACAUUUGCUUAAAAGGUGCAACUGCACCACUACCAGAUGGACCUGCGUUGUAUUAGCUAGUUGGUGAGGUAACGGCUCACCAAGGCAACGAUACAUAGCCGACCAGAGAGGGUGAUCGGCCACACUGGGACUGAGACACGGCCCAGACUCCUACGGGAGGCAGCAGUAGGGAAUCGUCGGCAAUGGACGGAAGUCUGACCGAGCAACGCCGCGGGAGUGAAGAAGGUUUUCGGAUCGUAAAGCUCGGUUGUAAGAGAAGAACGAGUGUGAGAGUGGAAAGUUCACACUGUGACGGUAUCUUACCAGAAAGGGACGGCUAACUACGUG
rnacentral:rRNA from 1 species